rnacentral:rRNA from 1 species
UGCCAGACUCCUACGGGAGGCAGCAGUGGGGAAUAUUGCACAAUGGGGGAAACCCUGAUGCAGCGACGCCGCGUGAGCGAUGAAGUAUUUCGGUAUGUAAAGCUCUAUCAGCAGGGAAGAAAAUGACGGUACCUGACUAAGAAGCCCUGGCUAACUACGUGCCAGCAGCCGCGGUAAUACGUAGGGGGCAAGCGUUAUCCGGAUUUACUGGGUGUAAAGGGAGCGUAGACGGCAAUGCAAGCCAGAUGUGAAAGCCCGGGGCUCAACCCCGGGACUGCAUUUGGAACUGUGUAGCUGGAGUGUCGGAGAGGCAGGCGAAAUUCCUAGUGUAGCGGUGAAAUGCGUAGAUAUUAGGAGGAACACCAGUGGCGAAGGCGGCCUGCUGGACGAUGACUGACGUUGAGGCUCGAAAGCGUGGGGAGCAAACAGGAUUAGAUACCCGCGUACG